ACAACCUCCCCGCGAGGUCGGCUGGGCCGGACCAGAGUUGCCCGGGGACCGGAGUGGGGUCUCCUGGCUUGCUGCUCCACCCUGGCCUUCCUUCCAAGAUCUCCAGGGAAUAGAAAAAGACUUGAGUGAAGCCCCCAGAAAUCAUAAACAAACGGUUACCAAAGGAGAAAUUCUGAAAGUCAUUCCUGGAGUGAAGAAUGAAGCCUCCAUUGCAGCAGCUGUAACAGCUGUAAGAACGGAUGUCACAACACAGACCCAGCCAGCUCUGAUUGUGUGCUGCUGGUGCACAGAGGUGGGUCUAUCGAGCAGGAAGGAAGUUUUACAUGUCAAGGAACAGAGGCACUGCUGUGACCUUGUAUCACACCCAGCAUGCUGUAUAAAUCCAGGCAAGUAAUUCAGUGAAUCAAUUAAACAAAUCAUAACUUUAUAUGACAUCAAACCCAGGUCACUAUC